CCUACGGGGGGCAGCAGUGGGAAAUCUUCCACAAUGGGCGAAAGCCUGAUGGAGCAACGCCGCGUGAGUGAAGAAGGUCUUCGGAUCGUAAAGCUCUGUUGCACGGGACGAAAACCGGGUUUGAGAAUAUUGAACUUGGGUGACGGUACCGAGCGAGGAAGCCACGGCUAACUACGUGCCAGCAGCCGCGGUAAUACGUAGGUGGCGAGCGUUGUCCGGAAUUAUUGGGCGUAAAGGGUGCGCAGGCGGACAUAUAAGUCCAUCUUAAAAGUGCGGGGCUCAACCCCGUGAGGGGAUGGAAACUGUAUGCCUUGAGUGCAGGAGAGGAAAGCGGAAUUCCCAGUGUAGCGGUGAAAUGCGUAGAUAUUGGGAGGAACACCAGUGGCGAAGGCGGCUUUCUGGACUGUAACUGACGCUGAGGCUCGAAAGCCAGGGGAGCGAACGGGAUUAGAUACCCUGGUAGUC
rnacentral:rRNA from 1 species